GACGAACGCUGGCGGCGUGCUUAACACAUGCAAGUCGAACGGACAGGCCCUGCUUUUGUGGGGUGCUCGAGUGGCGAACGGGUGAGUAACACGUGAGUAACCUGCCCUUGACUUUGGGAUAACUUCAGGAAACUGGGGCUAAUACCGGAUAGGAGCUCCUGCUGCAUGGUGGGGGUUGGAAAGUUUCGGCGGUUGGGGAUGGACUCGCGGCUUAUCAGCUUGUUGGUGGGGUAGGGGCUUACCAAGGCUUUGACGGGUAGCCGGCCUGAGAGGGUGACCGGCCACAUUGGGACUGAGGUACGGCCCAGACUCCUACGGGAGGCAGCAGUGGGGAAUAUUGCACAAUGGGCGGAAGCCUGAUGCAGCAACGCCGCGUGCGGGAUGACGGCCUUCGGGUUGUAAACCGCUUUCGCCUGUGACGAAGCGUGAGUGACGGUAAUGGGUAAAGAAGCACCGGCUAACUACGUG
rnacentral:rRNA from 1 species